rnacentral:tRNA from 1 species
CAUUAGAUGUCUGAAUUUUAAGAGUAGGUCUUUUAAACCUAAAAUAGUAAUACUACAUUUACUUCUAAUGA